rnacentral:rRNA from 1 species
AUUGAACGCUGGCGGCAUGCCUUACACAUGCAAGUCGAACGGUAACAGGUUAAGCUGACGAGUGGCGAACGGGUGAGUAAUGUAUCGGAACGUGCCCAGUCGCGGGGGAUAACUGCUCGAAAGAGCAGCUAAUACCGCAUACGACCUGAGGGUGAAAGCGGGGGAUCGCAAGACCUCGCGCGAUUGGAGCGGCCGAUAUCAGAUUAGGUAGUUGGUGAGGUAAAGGCUCACCAAGCCGACGAUCUGUAGCUGGUCUGAGAGGACGACCAGCCACACUGGGACUGAGACACGGCCCAGACUCCUACGGGAGGCAGCAGUGGGGAAUUUUGGACAAUGGGCGCAAGCCUGAUCCAGCCAUGCCGCGUGCGGGAAGAAGGCCUUCGGGUUGUAAACCGCUUUUGUCAGGGAAGAAAAGGUUCUGGCUAAUACCUGGGACUCAUGACGGUACCUGAAGAAUAAGCACCGGCUAACUACGU